UACGAAGGGGGCUAGCGUUGUUCGGAAUUACUGGGCGUAAAGCGCACGCAGGCGGCUCGAUAACUUAGAAGUGAAAGCCCCGGGCUUAACCUGGGAAUUGCUUUUAAGACUGUCGGGCUAGAAUCCAGAAGAGGGUAGUGGAAUUCCGAGUGUAGAGGUGAAAUUCGUAGAUAUUCGGAAGAACACCAGUGGCGAAGGCGACUACCUGGUCUGGCAUUGACGCUCAUGUGCGAAAGCGUGGGGAGCAAACAGG
rnacentral:rRNA from 1 species